UACGUAGGCGGUUCGGUAAGUUCGUUGUGAAAUCUCCCGGCUCAACCGGGAGCGGUCAAUGGAAACUGCCGGACUGGAGGGGCGUAGAGGCGAGCGGAAUUCCCGGUGUAGUGGUGAAAUGCGUAGAUAUCAAGAGGAACACCGAUGGCGAAGGCAGCUCUCUGGUCCGUUUCUGACGCUGAGGUGCGAAAGCUAGGGUAGCGAACG
rnacentral:rRNA from 1 species